rnacentral:tRNA from 2 species
GGGGAGAUGGCCGAGCGGUCCAAGGCGCCACGUUAAGGCCGUGGUCUCGUAAGAGGCGUGGGUUCGAAUCCCACUCUCCUC